rnacentral:lncRNA from 1 species
UUUCGAACCACCACGAAGCGCCUCCCUCAAAUCAACCCAACGAACGUCUCCUUCCUCAUCCACCGUCACGCCCACAUCCACCGUCUCCACACAAAAACCACCGCCUACCCUCUCAUGAACCCUUCUUCCUCAGCGUCAUCUUCUUCCUCCACCCUCCGUGCGACCUUCACCAAGCCCUCCGUCGCCGAAGAAAUCUCCUCACAUAAAUCCCCACUGUGAAUCAAUCUUUGACUAAUAAUCAAGUCGUCGUGAUUUUAU